AACAUUCCUUUUCCUGAUUUGGGUUUCUUGGAAUUUGUCUUUUUCUCAAUCUCUUCUCCCUUUUUCUUCUUCUUCUUUCAAUACACCUUUCUUUUCCUUGUUGGGUACUUGAGAUUUUGCUUGUUUUGCUUUUUGGGUACCUUCAAAGUCACUGAUUUUGAUGAUUAAGGGGUCGUUUCGAGGCCUGUAAAAAUCCUUAGUUGUAUAGGGGUUACAGGUAAAAACCACUUUACAGGCAGGUGUUUGGAUGGCAAAAUUUGCAAACUCACCGUUCUUGUUUUUCGAGGCAAAAAGCCAUAUUUCAAGAUUACAGAUCAAUGUUCGGUUGGGACCCAAAUCACCGGGUGAAAAAGGGAUCGGAUUUCUUGGAGAAAAAAUGGUUAAGUUGUUUUUAUCUGAACCCACACCAGGCGAUGAUGGAGAUGGAAGUCCUUCAAAAGAGAGUAUAUCUCUUCUGCAGAAAUUGGAAUCUAUCAUUUGUUCAGUGAUCACAUCAGGAGGUCGAUCAGAGGCUCGCCUAUGGCUGUGCACCACCAUUUCAUGCAUAAGUUCAAUUACUCAUGAUCAACACGAACUAUUCAUUGACCUCUUGAGGUCUAAAUCUCAAAAGCUGGCCAUAGCUGCCCAAGUCUUGCAGAUGAUUUUUAAUAAGAGACCGCAAAAGGUUGGGUCUAUCAUAGCCAAAAAAGGCUACAUGCUUGAGAAGUUUUUCGAAGGAAACCCAGAGCGUAUAUUGCAAUGGUUUGGUAAUUUCGCUGGUGUAGGUGAAUCCGAGCAUAGAAAAGGCGCCAGGGCAAUAUCCCAGUUUGCUUUUGUGAACCGAGACAUUUGCUGGGAUGAGCUUGAGUGGAAGGGGAAACAUGGACAAUCACCUGCAAUGGUUGCUACAAAACCUCAUUACUUUCUCGAUUUGGAUGUCCUUCGUACAGUGGAGAAUUUUCUUGAAAACGUUCCUGAUUUCUGGUCAUCAGAUGAGCUUGCAGAAUCACUAAAAGAUGGUGAGAUAUUGAACAUAGAUGAAAGAUUCUUCAUAGACCAAUUUGUUCACUUGAUGUAUGAGGACAAGUCAGAAGAUGUUUGGGCAGUUGUAUAUGGUUUUUUGGCGGAGGAGCAGUUCUCUUUUCUAUGUCAGCAUCUUCUCAUAUUGCUUGAUGAGCAGAUGCUCCAUGCUUUCUUAAGUUCUCUUAGUAAAUUGCUCCCCCCAAGGCCGAAAUGCAAGGAUUUCAGUUCCCCGUCUUAUUGGCUCGAGAGUCUGUUGUCGACAUGCAAUGAUUGUGCAUCUAUCGAUGAAUUGCUCCUAUUAAAUGCAGUUAUCAAUCAGGGUCGCCAGCUACUUCGUCUCAUGGAUGACGAUGAGCAUGGGGAGGAAAAAGGAAAAAUCGAAGAACUUUUGUCAGAAAGUGGCAUGACCUUGAGUGAUGCAGGUCAUUGGGCACUCAUGAAGGCUUGCACAAAGAUGAAGAAGGCAGUUGCAAUGAAAUGGCUUGGGCUCCAAUCAUGGGUUGUUCAUUAUAGUCUGUCAAAGGAAUGCAAGACUGCAUCAGCAUGUGAAUUGCUGUUUAUUAGGAACGGGAUAAGUUUUCGGAAGUCGGAUGAUCAUUCAUUGGUCCAACCUGAUGGGUUCUCUGAUGGUAGUGGAUUUGACUUUGAUGAUGGGGGUUCGGUUAGAUAUGGGCAUAAAAAGAAAGCAAAGCGUAAAAAGAGGAGAAAGAAAAACUACAGUGGAGAUGACAGCAGCGGUGAUGAGCUGCUGGAGUUGGAAAUGUUGAGUGGUUGGAGAGGUUUGCAAUCUGGAGGUGGGAGUUGGUUGCUCUCGACUGACGCUUAUUCUUGUUCAUGGAAUAGUGCAGAUUUACCAGAACACCUGGCUAAACACUGCUUUUCCAUGUGGAUGAAGUGGGUUUGUUCCAAGUGGCGUUCCACGGCUUAAAAUGUCCACAUAUCGACCUCGAUAUGAGGUUGGCCAAUGAUGCUUUAUGGACAGCACCGGUUGGAUUCAACUGGAAUUCUUUGCCUGAAUAGUCUGCAUUUCACUUCCAGCUUUUAAGUGGAUGAUGUGCGAAGGUGAUUAUGGAGAUUCCACAUCCUUCCGAGACGAGUAAUCAGAACCAUGCCCGUUUUCUGAAAUCUAGUUGCAGAUGGUCUGGCAGGUGCAUAUGCAACCCAGUAAGAGGGUGAAUCAGCUGGAUGACUUCAAUUUCUCUCAGCUUCUUUCGAAUUGUAGGAGCUUCUUACCUUAGUCUCACUUGGUGAAAAUGAGAUCCAAAAGUCCUUAGUAGUCACCUUGAUGGGGUAUUUAUAGGCAAAUUUAUUAGGACUGGGCCGCACGUGGUGAAAGAUGGUUGGCUAAAGCAACCCCAAGUGACAAUUGUACCUCACUGAAUGGGUCCAGGUGAUAGUUGUACCGCACUCGUGGUCACGGACA